UUUAUGAUAUUUUCUCAACCUUUCAGAUGAAUGCAUGGAGCAAUGCCUUCCGCUUCAACCUGAAUCCACAAGUAUUGUCCAAUCUGGGAAACAUUUAUCUGGAGCAGUAUGAUUUGCUCAAUCACAACGAUUCUCUUCUAAACUAUAGAUUUCCAUCUUGAAAUACAUCUCUAUUUGUAGACUUGAAUUUUUCUCUAUAGUAAUCUUGGUAAUGAUCCAAAACUUAUGUCAUCAAUUCACUAUUGGUGUAUUUUCUUCAUCAUCAUUUGAGACUGAAAUUGCAUUUAAUUUUUCAAGAAAAUUUCGGAGUUGAAUAAGUCAAUUCUCGUAGUAGGAAUUAAUAUUACUGGAUUCGAAGAGGGGAUUUGUCAUGUAGAGGUUGGUGCCAUGUCUGAACUUUUGAGAGUUGCCU
rnacentral:lncRNA from 1 species